CUAGAUGUUGAAAAAUUUCACUUCAAAGCGAAAUAUCAAAGAAAAACUUUGGGAAAAAUUAUUGAAAUUUCAAAUGUUUCGCCAAAUUUUUUUGUAGAAUUUUUUUGUAGAAUUUGAAAACUCUUCAAGGUUGUAGAUAAUUUAUUUUUUAGGAAUUUUGAAUUUCGCGCCACUAUUUUUAAAUUUCAAUAAAUCCUAUUUUACACCCU
ensembl:antisense_RNA anr-50 ncRNA